AUUUGUUCAUUCUCCCAUAAGGAAGGAACAUAUUUUUUUAAAUAUUUGCCAUUAAUAAACCUCAUGUGCUUGGUACCAUCUAGAUCUUCUAAAUGGUAAGCUCCAUUAGGCAACACACUAUUUACUUUAUAUGGCCCUUCCCAAUUGGGCGACCACUUGCCAUACUUUGGAUCCUUACUAUCCAAAUGGAGUAUUGUUUUCCAAACCAAUU
rnacentral:lncRNA from 1 species